rnacentral:rRNA from 1 species
GUGGGGAAUAUUGGACAAUGGGCGAAAGCCUGAUCCAGCCAUGCCGCGUGUGUGAAGAAGGUCUUCGGAUUGUAAAGCACUUUAAGUUGGGAGGAAGGGCAGUAAGUUAAUACCUUGCUGUUUUGACGUUACUGACAGAAUAAGCACCGGCUACCUUCGUGCCAGCAGCCGCGGUAAUACGAAGGGUGCAAGCGUUAAUCGGAAUUACUGGGCGUAAAGCGCGCGUAGGUGGUUGUGUAAGUUGGAGGUGAAAUCCCCGGGCUCAACCUGGGAACUGCGUUCAAAACCGUAUGGCUAGAGUACGGAAGAGGAGAGUGGAAUUUCCUGUGUAGCGGUGAAAUGCGUAGAUAUAGGGAAGAACACCAGUGGCGAAGGCGGCUAUCUGGAAUGAUACUGACACUGAGGUGCGAAAGCGUGGGGAGCAAACAGGAUUAGAUACCCUAGUAGUCC